ensembl:piRNA 21ur-4423 ncRNA
UCCGCAGAAAUCUCUCUUUGU